CCUACGGGUGGCAGCAGUGGGGAAUAUUGCACAAUGGGGGAAACCCUGAUGCAGCGACGCCGCGUGAGGGAAGAAGUAUUUCGGUAUGUAAACCUCUAUCAGCAGGGAAGAAAAUGACGGUACCUGAUUAAGAAGCCCCGGCUAACUACGUGCCAGCAGCCGGGGUAAUACGUAGGGGGCAAGCGUUAUCCGGAUUUACUGGGUGUAAAGGGAGCGUAGGCGGUGUAACAAGUCUGGAGUGAAAUCCCGGGGCUUAACCCCGGAACUGCUUUGGAAACUGUGGAACUAGAGUGCAGGAGAGGUAAGUGGAAUUCCUAGUGUAGCGGUGAAAUGCGUAGAUAUUACGAGGAACACCAGUGGCGAAGGCGGGUUACUGGACUGUAACUGACGCUGAGGCACGAAAGCGUGGGGAGCGAACAGGAUUAGAUACCCCAGUAGUC
rnacentral:rRNA from 1 species